UACGGGGGGGGCAAGCGUUGUUCGGAAUUACUGGGCGUAAAGGGCUCGUAGGCGGCCAACUAAGUCGGAUGUGAAAUCCCCAGGCUCAACUUGGGAACUGCAUCCGAUACUGGAUGGCUUGAAUUCGGGAGAGGGAUGCAGAAUUCCAGGUGUAGCGGUGAAAUGCGUAGAUAUCUGGAGGAAUACCGGUGGCGAAGGCGGCAUCCUGGACCGACAUUGACGCUGAGGAGCGAAAGCUGAGGGGAGCAACGGG
rnacentral:rRNA from 1 species